AUUGAACGCUGGCGGAAUGCUUUACACAUGCAAGUCGAACGGCAGCACGGACUUCGGUCUGGUGGCGAGUGGCGGACGGGUGAGUAAUACAUCGGAACGUGCCCAGUCGUGGGGGAUAACGUAGCGAAAGCUACGCUAAUACCGCAUACGAUCUAAGGAUGAAAGCGGGGGAUCGCAAGCCCUCGCGCGAUUGGAGCGGCCGAUGGCAGAUUAGGUAGUUGGUGGGGUAAAGGCUCACCAAGCCGACGAUCUGUAGCUGGUCUGAGAGGACGACCAGCCACACUGGGACUGAGACACGGCCCAGACUCCUACGGGAGGCAGCAGUGGGGAAUUUUGGACAAUGGGCGCAAGCCUGAUCCAGCCAUUCCGCGUGCAGGAUGAAGGCCCUCGGGUUGUAAACUGCUUUUGUACGGAACGAAAAGGCUCUGGUUAAUACCUGGGGCUCAUGACGGUACCGUAAGAAUAAGCACCGGCUAACUACGUGCCAGCCGCCGCCGUAA
rnacentral:rRNA from 1 species